UGUUACUUAAAGUAAGCAUUUAGAUCAAACAAUUCUAUACAGAAUUGAAAUACCAUCUAGUGGCCUAUUUGCAGAUUACCAUUUACAAGCACUUUUUCAAUGCAGCUUCCUAUAGAGAUUGGGAAAGGGAGUAAAACUGCCUAUUGUUAAAUGUAAAGACUGGAUGAAAAAAGUCUGCAGUGGUAUGUCGAUUACCAAGCAGGUCAGGAAUGAAGUGCUCAGUUCGGAACUACUUUAGGUAAGCUCCUACACAUUAUUACGAUUUUAUCCUGAUUGUGUGACUGGAUAACUGUACAGAAGUCUCAGAAUAAAAGCUAAAUACUACUGACGUGUGG